GUACUACUCCCUUCGUCCGGAAAUACUUGUCGGAAAAAUUGAUGUAUCUAAACGUAUUUUAAUUCUAGAUACAUCAAUUUCUAUCCAUUUAUGUGACAAGCGUUUCUGGACUGAGGGAGUGCUAC
rfam:Triticum aestivum genome assembly, contig: Triticum_aestivum_CS42_TGACv1_scaffold_130464_2BL